rnacentral:rRNA from 1 species
UACGUAGGCAGCAAGCGUUGUUCGGAGUUACUGGGCGUAAAGGGUGCGUAGGUGGCUCUAUAAGUAUGGUGUGAAAUCUCCCCGGCUUAACUGGGAGGGUGCGCCGUAGACUGUGGGGCUAGAGUGUGGGAGAGGGAAAGUGGAAUUCCUGGUGUAGCGGUGAAAUGCGUAGAUAUCAGGAGGAACACCGGUGGCGAAGGCGGGUCUCUGGGCAGUAACUGACGCUGGAGGAGCGAAAGCGUGGGGAGCAAACAGG